rnacentral:misc_RNA from 1 species
UAAUAAGUGUUUUAUGGCACUUUUUUAAAUCCAUAUCCACCUUGUGUGCAAUGUCAGUCGAUCUUCUUCAUGGAGAUCGACCAAACAUCAACCUUUAUCUUUUAACUCUUUGUCUGAAAAAUAUUAUGAAUAAACAAUUCAAAAUA